AUCCAGCUGACGCGUCCCAAGUAGGACAAAAGGCGCGUCCUGGAU
rnacentral:hammerhead_ribozyme from 1 species